rnacentral:rRNA from 1 species
CAAGCCUACGGGGCGCAGCAGUCGAGAAUCAUUCACAAUGGGGGAAACCCUGAUGGUGCGACGCCGCGUGGGGGAAUGAAGGUCUUCGGAUUGUAAACCCCUGUCAUGUGGGAGCAAAUUAAAAAGAUAGUACCACAAGAGGAAGAGACGGCUAACUCUGUGCCAGCAGCCGCGGUAAUACAGAGGUCUCAAGCGUUGUUCGGCAUCACUGGGCGUAAAGCGUGCGUAGGCUGUUUCGUAAGUCGUGUGUGAACGGCGCGGGCUCAACCCGCGGACGGCACAUGAUACUGCGAGAAUAGAGGAAG